UGCAUUCAUGCAUGCACUGUUACCAAUCUGCCUCAAACAAAAGUGAAAAGACAAUAUUUUAAUAAAAGAUACUUGGGAUUGUAGUUGCACUAACUUUUAUCUGAAUUUUGCUCAACAAUUCUGUUUUAGUAUAGAUGCAGGAGAUUAGAACUUCAAGAAGAAGUGCAAGUGCAGAGAUGUCAAGCCCAGAGGCAAAGUUGGGUUUGCAGGUUGAGGAUCUGUGGGAUAUUCAAGAACCUCAGCUCAGUCCUUCUGAGAAGCUUAAUGCUUGCUUUGAGAGCAUCCCUGUUUCGGCCUUCCCUCAUGCUGCUGAUUCUCAAGGUAUCGUGAUGUCGAGACUUGGUCUAAGUUCUCAUUUUUAUAGGCUUCGCGGUUUAAUAUAUCUAUGUCACUGUAUAAGUUUGAUUAGUGAGUUGUAUUUUUAUUGUUAUCGAGUCGAUGAUUAAACAUCUAAUUAUUUUUGUUGAUUUUUUAUUGAAAGCAAUGUGCCGUAAAGGUCGAGAUUUGGUCUCAGUUCUUAUAAAAAUAGUUCUCAUUUUUAUAGAUGUCGUGCUUAUCAGGGGCGGAUAUAGGAAUAGGCAAGGGGGACACGUGUCCCCCCUAAAUUUUUUUUUUACAUUUUUUCACCAUUUUAAAUUUUACAAAAUUAUAGAAGUGCCCCCACAAAAUUUAAAAAUAUAUAGUUGUUUUGUGAAAAUUUGCUUGGUGCCCCCCCAAAUUUACAUCCUAGAUCCGCCCUGUGUGCUUUAAUAUAUCUGUGUCAUUAUAUCAAUUUGAUUAGUGAGUUGUAUUUUUAUUACUAUUGAUUGGAUGAUUAAACAUCUAAAUAUUUUUGUUGAAAGUAAUGUGUCGUAAAGGUCGAGAUUUGGUCUCAGGUUCUCAUUUUAAUAGAGGGCGAGAUUUGGUCUCGGUUCUCAUUUAAUAGGCGUUACUUUAAUAUAUGUGUUAUGAUGUGUAAAUCUGAUUCGUGAGUUGUAAUUUUAUUGCUAUUGAGUGAAUGAUCAGACAUUCAAUUUUUGUUAAAUUUUUCUUUAAAUUAAUGUUGCUGUUCGCAGUUAUUGAGAUCAAUUCGGAUACUAGUGUGGCUGAAGCUGUGAAGUUAAUGGCCCAACAUAAUAUACUUAGUGUUCCUGUUGUGGAUGUUGAUGCACCAGAGGAUUCUACUUGGAUUGAUAGAUAUCUGGGCAUCAUAGAGUUUGCUGGCAUUGUUGUAUGGAUUCUGCAUCAGGUUCGAAUAUCUUUAGAGAGCUUGAAAUAAAUUGUUUGAUAAAUCUUUACUUUUCGAGUUGAAGUUUACAUCUUGUUUUCCUAAUUGCUGAUGACAGGGUAACAAACUUGAAUUAAAUGACAAAUGAUGAAAUUGAUAUGAAAUAAAAUCAGUAUUGAGGCAAAGUACCCUGAUUGUUUUCGUGUUUAAAGUGUUAUUAGUUGCUGCUAAUUGGAGCAUCUAGGUACUGUAGGAAGCACGAGUUCUGUUUCUGAAUUUGUCUGUCCAUUCGAUGAUAUAAACGAGACAGCCUUCAGCAACAAAAUUCAGAGAAUUAUGAGUUUCAUUUUCAAUCUUUUGCAGUCAGAAAAGAAGGAUGGAUCACCAAACACGGAUUUCAUACCUGAAUCAGAAGAAAUCAUGAGCCCUGCAAUUGCAAGAGCAGCUUCUGGAAUGUCUUCUCCAAGAUAUAAAGGCGCAAACCCUUUUGAUGAGGCCUCAAUCUCUGGAGACUUUUUUGAGGCUUUGACUAACUCUGAAUUUUAUAAGAAUGCCAAGGUAUGUUAAGCUUCUAUAUUAUUGUCUGUGUAAUGUCAAUCAUUUCCCCCCCCCCCUUUUUAAUCCCAAAUAUCCAANCUUUGACCAUGCACCUGCAUCAUCACACUAUCUUACACACACAACACUAUCUCCACCGUUCAAUAAUUGUCCAGAUAAAAACAAGCAAAGCUCACAUUUCAGGUCAGCAAUAAUGCAUUCAUGCAUGCACUGUUACCAAUCUGCCUCAAACAAAAGUGAAAAGACAAUAUUUUAAUAAAAGAUACUUGGGAUUGUAGUUGCACUAACUUUUAUCUGAAUUUUGCUCAACAAUUCUGUUUUAGUAUAGAUGCAGGAGAUUAGAACUUCAAGAAGAAGUGCAAGUGCAGAGAUGUCAAGCCCAGAGGCAAAGUUGGGUUUGCAGGUUGAGGAUCUGUGGGAUAUUCAAGAACCUCAGCUCAGUCCUUCUGAGAAGCUUAAUGCUUGCUUUGAGAGCAUCCCUGUUUCGGCCUUCCCUCAUGCUGCUGAUUCUCA
rnacentral:lncRNA from 1 species